UACGUAGGGGGCAAGCGUUGUCCGGAAUCAUUGGGCGUAAAGCGCGUGUAGGCGGUUCGGUAAGUCCGCUGUGAAAGUCGGGGGCUCAACCCUCGGAUGCCGGUGGAUACUGUCGAGCUUGAGUACGGAAGAGGCGAGUGGAAUUCCUGGUGUAGCGGUGAAAUGCGCAGAUAUCAGGAAGAACACCAAUGGCGAAAGCAGCUCUCUGGGACGGUACUGACGCUGAGACGCGAAAGCGUGGGGAGCGAACAGG
rnacentral:rRNA from 1 species